rnacentral:rRNA from 1 species
GCUCAGAUUGAACGCUGGCGGCAGGCCUAACACAUGCAAGUCGAGCGGUAGAGAGAAGCUUGCUUCUCUUGAGAGCGGCGGACGGGUGAGUAAUGCCUAGGAAUCUGCCUGGUAGUGGGGGAUAACGUUCGGAAACGGACGCUAAUACCGCAUACGUCCUACGGGAGAAAGCAGGGGACCUUCGGGCCUUGCGCUAUCAGAUGAGCCUAGGUCGGAUUAGCUAGUUGGUGGGGUAAUGGCUCACCAAGGCGACGAUCCGUAACUGGUCUGAGAGGAUGAUCAGUCACACUGGAACUGAGACACGGUCCAGACUCCUACGGGAGGCAGCAGUGGGGAAUAUUGGACAAUGGGCGAAAGCCUGAUCCAGCCAUGCCGCGUGUGUGAAGAAGGUCUUCGGAUUGUAAAGCACUUUAAGUUGGGAGGAAGGGCAGUUACCUAAUACGUAAUUGUUUUGACGUUACCGACAGAAUAAGCACCGGCUAACUCUGUGCCAGCAGCCGCGGUAAUACAGAGGGUGCAAGCGUUAAUCGGAAUUACUGGGCGUAAAGCGCGCGUAGGUGGUUUGUUAAGUUGGAUGUGAAAUCCCCGGGCUCAACCUGGGAACUGCAUUCAAAACUGACUGACUAGAGUAUGGUAGAGGGUGGUGGAAUUUCCUGUGUAGCGGUGAAAUGCGUAGAUAUAGGAAG